UCUAAAGGACACCAACAGGUGGGAGGCCGCUUUGGAGGGGGGUGCUCCUGGUGGGAUAGAAAAGGCCGAUCUGCAAGGCCUGUUGUGGGCACAAUCCACCGGGCCAGAUAUGGAAGAGGAUGGUUGAUCGCAGGAUAGCUGAGGUGAAGAGAGCAGAGGGGCAGGAUAAAGUUGUGGAAUGGUUCUUGGGGAGGGAUAGUUGAGAUGAUUUUUAGCUUUAAAGGGUGGAAAGGGCAGCAUCAGGGACAAGGCAUAAGGUUGGUCUGAGAGUUUAGUCUUUUCGGUGUGUUUCUGGUCACAGUGUUCCCUUUUCAAUCUCUGCUUUCUGACCAACAAGUUUUUGUAAUUUUUUUGUUGGUGGUUAAUGUAAAAGGUUAAUAUUUGACAUCAACAAAUGGACAGUACAUUGACAUGGUUUUCUGUUGAGUCAAAAGUCUUACAGAUUCAGACGUUGCAGACUUUUUAGUCAUUCUAGUUUCCUUGAUUUGCAGCACCAUGUGAAAAAAAAGCAUUGGUCAAACCAGUUGUUAGAUGUUUUCUGUAUGUUUUACGAUAGAUAAGCACACCAUGGCAGAGCCUGACACCUCUGUCAGGUGAGGGGAAGCUGAGGGUGUGACACAGGAAGGGAUCAGGAAAUUCUCAUCACAGUCUAAGCAACGAAAAAGGGCUAGUCUUUCUAAUGGCCAUUUGGUUCGGAGCUGGUUGACAUAACAGUGGUUAGGUUGAUCAAGGAAGUCAUCGCAAGACAGUGUAGGAGAGGCUGGCUGAACCCAAUGUGGCCUGAAGCUCAACUCCAGCUGCCCACCACAAGAAAACCACAAUAGGAGACGCAACGGGAGUCAAUAAAGGUAAGGCUCAAGAGGACAUGAUGGCCUGACCCCUCGAAGAUGAUUUCCCCUUACUAUUUCCUCUCUUUCUCCUCUCUCAUGUCCUUCUUUUUCUAUGUCCUCUACCCCUAUAACCUUCCCUCUCUCCCCCCUCCUCACAGCAUGUCCCCUUCCUGCUCCCCCUCGCUCAGCCGCCUCUUGCAGCUGAAGCAACACGCCUUGCUGUGGCUGGUCAAACGGAACCAAGUCAGGUGUUUCUGUGAGGUUUGGUCCCCUUCAACCAGCUACUGCGUCGUGAAUUCAGUCAGCGUGGAAUCAAAGACACAGUGGCGUUGUGGUGUACGCUGCAUACUUUGGGGGGUUUGUUAAUGAUAGAUUAUUUUUGUUCUCUGGUAGUUUGGUGUUGGUUGUUUCCUGUAUGACAGUGGAUGUUUGAAAAAGCAAAUAAAAGAUUGCUGACAACAUA